CAGCCGCCACGGUAAUACGUAGGGUGCGAGCGUUAAUCGGAAUUGCUGGGCGUAAAGCGUGCGCAGGCGGUUAUAUAAGACAGAUGUGAAAUCCCCGGGCUCAACCUGGGACCUGCAUUUGUGACUGUAUAGCUAGAGUACGGUAGAGGGGGAUGGAAUUCCGCGUGUAGCAGUGAAAUGCGUAGAUAUGCGGAGGAACACCGAUGGCGAAGGCAAUCCCCUGGACCUGUACUGACGCUCAUGCACGAAAGCGUGGGGAGCGAACAGGAUUAGAUACCCCGGUAGUCCCUGUCUCUUAUAC
rnacentral:rRNA from 1 species